UCAGACGAUGCGUCAUGCAUAUCAAUAAGCGGAGGAAAAGAAACUAACAAGGAUUCCCCUAGUAACGGCGAGUGAAGCGGGAAGAGCUCAAAUUUGAAAUCUUAAAGGGUUUCCCUUUACGAAUUGUAGUUUAAAGAAGUGUUUUCUGUUGAGGUUUUGGUAAAAGUUCUUUGGAAUAGGACAUCAUAGAGGGUGAGAAUCCCGUAUUUGACCUUUACUUUCAACUUUGUGAUACACUUUCAAAGAGUCGGAUUGUUUGGGAAUGCAGUCCAAGAUGGGUGGUAAAUUUCAUCUAAAGCUAAAUAUUGGCGAGAGACCGAUAGCGAACAAGUACCGUGAGGGAAAGAUGAAAAGAACCUUUGAAAAGAGAGUUAAACAGUACGUGAAAUUGUCAAAAGGGAAGCGUUUGACACCAGUGUUGCUUUUUCUGAAAAUCAAUUAAAGAACUGUUUAUGCUAAGCCUGUUUAGACUUUAUCAGCUAUCUGUUUAGUUUUGAGCUUUUCUUUAAUGCACUUUUCAGUUAACAAGUCAACAUCAAUUUCUUUUGCUGUAAAAAAGCUUGAGGAAGGUGGCUUGAGAUUCGUCUUAAGUGUUUAUAGCCUCUUGCCUAUGCAGUCGGAGAGAUUGAGGUCUGCAGCGUAGAUCCUUCGGGGCUAAAUGCAUUUGUGCUAAGUUAUAGCAUUUUAUAGACAACUUGUUGACUAUGAUUUGUCUUGUAGCUUACUCGCUUAUGUUAUUUUACCUACGCUUAGGAUGUUGAGCGCAUGUCUCUCUCU
rnacentral:rRNA from 1 species